rnacentral:rRNA from 1 species
AGGAUGGCCAGCCACAUUGGGACUGAGAGACGGCCCAGACUCCUACGGGAGGCAGCAGUGGGGAAUCUUGCGCAAUGGUCGAAAGACUGACGCAGCGACGCCGCGUGCGGGAGGAAGCUCUUCGGGGUGUAAACCGCUGUUGCCCGGAACGAAACUCCAGAUUCGUCUGACUUGACGGUACCGGGUGAGGAAGCGCCGGCUAACUCUGUGCCAGCAGCCGCGGUAAUACAGAGGGCGCGAGCGUUGUCCGGAAUCACUGGGCGUAAAGGGCGCGUAGGUGGCGACAUAAGGCUGUGGUGAAUGGCUGGAGCUCAACUCCAGCUCGGCCGUGGCAACUGUGUUGCUUGGGCACCGUAGAGGCAGAUGGAAUUCCGGGUGUAGCGGUGGAAUGCGUAGAGAUCCGGAAGAACACCAGUGGCGAAGGCGGUCUGCUGGGCGGUGAGCUCGCAAGGGCUCAAUAGCCGACACUGAGGCGCGACAGCGUGGGGAGCAAACAGGAUUAGAUACCCUGGUAGUCCACGCCGUAAACGAUGGGCACUAGGUGCUCCGGG